AUGAAUGAGGUAGCAGGACAACCCUCCAUUCCAUGUGAGGACUCUAGUAUCACACCUGCUGUGCAGAAUGGACAACCUCUCAUAACAAACUAUGGAGAUUCCGGUGCAUGGAGAGAGGAAGAAAGGCUGCUCCUGAAACAUGUUGGUGCUUUAAGAAUAAUGAAUAUGAGAAAUGUCAUGGAAGACUCUAAGGAAAUCGGCUAUUAGCAGGAAAAUGAAAAUUCGUCUUUGUUAACCCAUAUAUAUUUUUCCCCAAAAGUAAAUUAACAAUUCAAAAUCUUGCACUAACCUUCAUUAACGUUCUUCAUGAAUAAUUCCACUGACAUGUAAGCAAUUUAUGUGUGAGAGAAUGAGAAGGGCUUGUCCUUUUAUAUUGCAUUUGUUUGUAUGAAGAUAAAUGAAUUAGGGUGAACUAGUCUACAGUCCACUUUUGAAAAAUGAACACUACUAUAUAAAAUACUGUUAUGUAAUACUUUUGACAUUUACUGAUGUUUUUAAUUACUUACAGUAUUUUCAUGUUUAACUUAACUGUGACUGGAAAUAUUCCUAAUGCACAUCCUACAAAGUGCUAAAUAUGUUGGAUGAUGAUGCAGUGAACUACUUGCGUAAUAUGUUCAACUUAAAUCCCCAAGAAGUCUCAUCAGUGACAGCAGAAAUAAAAUAUGAAGUUUUUUAAUAAGAAGAGGAACA
rnacentral:lncRNA from 1 species